rnacentral:rRNA from 1 species
UACGUAGGGCGCAAGCGUUGUCCGGAAUUAUUGGGCGUAAAGAGCUCGUAGGCGGUUUGUCGCGUCUGCCGUGAAAGUCCGGGGCUCAACUCCGGAUCUGCGGUGGGUACGGGCGGACUUGAGUACUGCAGGGGAGACUGGAAUUCCUGGUUUAGCGGUGAAAUGCGCAGAUAUCAGGAGUAACACCGGUGGCGAAGGCGGGUCUCUGGGCAGUAACUGACGCUGAGGAGCGAAAGCGUGGGGAGCGAACAGG